rnacentral:snoRNA from 1 species
AAUUAAUGAUAACUUUUUCUUUUUUACAAUUAUACGAUUGAUGCAUGUACACACAUUCUAAGAAAUAAAAAUUAGUGACAUAUCACUAAUCUUACAAUAUUAUUGUUAAAAUCCAUCUGCAUGUACAUAAAAUUCACUAGUGCUUCCCCAAAACUUUUAUAUUUGUACAUAAUACAUGGUAUAAAAAUAAGUUUGGAAAACAUACUAUAAUU